GACCCCAGCCCACCCCCACCCCCCGCCCCUUUGAAUGACCCCAGUUCCGCCCCUCCCUCGCCGGCGGUCCUGAAUUCCAGGCGGCGCUGCUCGUGGGAAGUCCCGACGGGAGCUGCGCGUGGGGCGCUUCCCGGUGGACUACGACGCGUCCACGAGCUACUGCGCGGCGUUUUCCAUGGUGAGCCUGCCGUCGCCGCGGUUCCUCUCCCCAUCCGGCAGGGAACGAGCGGGUGGCGUACCAGGCCGCGCGAACACUCUCCGGCUUGGUGGAUCCUUUAGGGAGCUCGGCUUCGGAGUCCGAGCACGCAGGAGGAGGAGCUGGCCGGCGGCGUUUCAGCGAGUAGGCUGGCCGGCAGCCAGCGGAGGAGUGAGAAGCAUGGUGGGCAGCUAGAAGCCUGUAUCUAUUUGUGUAAUAUUUGCUAGUUGGAGACUUUCUAUAUCUGUUGUGUUAUUGAUGCAUGGACAUUAUGAACAUUUGGAUACUUUCUAUAUCUGUUGUGUUAUUGAUGUCUAUUUUGCUGUUA